rnacentral:rRNA from 1 species
GACGAACGCUGGCGGCGUGCUUAACACAUGCAAGUCGAACGGAAAGGCCCUGCUUUUGUGGGGUGCUCGAGUGCGAACGGGUGAGUAACACGUGAGUAACCUGCCCUUGACUUUGGGAUAACUUCAGGAAACUGGGGCUAAUACCGGAUAGGAGCUUCUGCUGCCUGGUGGGGGGUGGAAAGUUUCGGCGGUUGGGGAUGGACUCGCGGCUUAUCAGCUUGUUGGUGGGGUAGUGGCUUACCAAGGCUUUGACGGGUAGCCGGCCUGAGAGGGUGACCGGCCACAUUGGGACUGAGAUACGGCCCAGACUCCUACGGGAGGCAGCAGUGGGGAAUAUUGCACAAUGGGCGGAAGCCUGAUGCAGCAACGCCGCGUGCGGGAUGACGGCCUUCGGGUUGUAAACCGCUUUCGCCUGUGACGAAGCGUGAGUGACGGUAAUGGGUAAAGAAGCACCGGCUAACUACGUG